rnacentral:rRNA from 1 species
GAAGGUGGGGAUGACGUCAAAUCAUCAUGCCCCUUAUGACCUGGGCUACACACGUGCUACAAUGGAUGGUACAACGAGUUGCGAACUCGCGAGAGUAAGCUAAUCUCUUAAAGCCAUUCUCAGUUCGGAUUGUAGGCUGCAACUCGCCUACAUGAAGUCGGAAUCGCUAGUAAUCGCGGAUCAGCAUGCCGCGGUGAAUACGUUCCCGGGCCUUGUACACACCGCCCGUCACACCAUGAGAGUUUGUAACACCCAAAGUCGGUGGGGUAACCUUUAGGAACCAGCCGCCUAAGGUGGGACAGAUGAUUAGGGUGAAGUCGUAACAAGGUAACCA